rnacentral:tRNA from 1 species
CCAGGCGGUUUGGCCGAGUGGUCUAAGGCGAUUGAGUAUGUUCCACUUUAUCACAUAAUCAUCUGAAUUUUCUCUAACCAAUUCAACAGCUAGAAAUCAAUUCUCUUCGGAGGCGCAUGUUCGAAUCAUGCAGCCGUCGUGGC